CGCAUCUUUCCCACGCGGGCGCACCACGAAAAUUAUUCCAACAACACCAACAGCGAUUUGUUAUGAAAUGCUCCCCUUCUGAAAGUAUACAAGAACGAAAUCGAAAAUAAAGUAAUUGGAAUCGCGAUUACGUGAUUGUGUCAGUCGAAGGAUGUGAAGAGAGAUGAAACACUUUUGGCUCGAAAGGCUGCGAUACUUGGAUAAACCAAGAACGAAUAAGGCCUGAAAUUCACUAUUGCCUUCGCGCCAAAAGUUUGAAGAUUUCAGCAGAAAGUUGGUUAUGCCCAAAAAAGUUGAUCUGCGAGUUGUCCAUUGUUCAGGGGCUGAUGAGGGCCAUAGUGCUAAAGAACUAGAGGUCCAUAGUCCAACAACAUCUGGUUGGCAGUCAUCACGAUUCUGCUUAUACCCCCAAGAGAUUGUACUUCAGAUAUCUAAGGUUCAGCCACUGAGAGUUCGAAAACUUCAGGUGCUUUCUCACCAGUAUUUGGUUGCCACCAGGAUUGAGGUGUUUGUGGGCCGUGUUCCAAGUGGUCAGCCUGUCUCACUGCUCACAUGCAAGUACAAGCGACUAGGAUAUGUUGGGUUAUCUGAUAAUGAAAGUACACAGUUCAAGGCUAGGGAGCUCAAAUCCAUCCAUCUUGAUGCAGAGGGUCAGUUUAUCAAGCUACUUGUCCACAAGAACUAUGUCAAUAGAUACAACCUUUAUAAUCAGGUUGGCUUGGUUGCAGUCAAUGUAAUAGCAGACGUCCCUGAAAUUGUGCCAGCUGAUCCACAUGACCCAGAUCCAAUCAAGGGUAUUGACAGCAUCGUUGACAGCUAUAUGAAGCCAGAGUCACAAUUUUCAGGAGACCCCAUAUGGGGGAAAAUUAACCGUCCUGAAUAUGUCUCACCACUUGAUGACCUGGCUUUUGACAUGUACCAGGAUCCUGAGACUGCUAACUUGAUUAGAAAGCUUGAAGCCAAGAAAAAGGAAGCAGUCCAACAGGAGAGAUAUGAUUUUGCCAAAAAGUUGAAGGUUGUGAUCUCUGAACUGUACAAAGCUGGAGAAAAGCUUGGCAAGUAUGAGGUAGAAAAGAAAAGAGCUGUGGAACAAGAAGACUAUGACCAUGCACAGGAGAAAAAGCGUGAAAUUGAUGAGUUCAGGCUAUAUGUAUAUCGCCAGCUGGAUAUCAGCGCCCUGCUGGAGCUAGAUGGGAAGUCAUACAACCAGCAGCCGCCACUACACAUUACCUCCCCUCCCUUACCCCCAUUGGUUUCACAGAGAACACCUCCCCCUGUGCAGCAGGCAGAAAGGAGGUCGCCACCCAUCCGGCCUGCACAGACCUACACUUCACCUGAGCCUACACGACAGGAUUUCACUUCUCCUAUUGCAGUUGACCAAAGUCAGAAUGAGGAUCGGCCACUCCCUGCUCUUAAAAACAAAUCUCUAGAGCAAGAAGAACCCAUCCCAGAGGAGCCUGUAACAGCUAAGACAGGAGAUGGACCCGAACCUCUUAAAGAAAAUGAUCUACGCACAGCAGGCAUGGCUGUUGAUGUGUUUGGAGAACAUUUGGUGCAGUGCGCCUUCUCCAAACAGUGGAACUUCCGGCAAGAAGCCAUGGAGAUGCUUGAACAGGAAAUGACGUCAUCUUCACCGGACCUCACAAGUGACAAAGAACCUCGUAACGUUGUCAGGGCAACUGUCAUACUAUUGAAGAAGGGAAUCAAGGAGAAAGUACUAACUGUAUUCACUCCAUGCCUGGGUGUUCUCCGAGCGCUCUUGCAUGCGUAUAUCCCACACCACAGGAUAGGAAAGGCAGAAAUCUCCCAUGUUGUUGAGAAGACUGUCCCAGCUUUACUUGUGAAAUCAGGAGAAACGACCCCAAGAACUAGGGAUGCAGCCAUUGAAAUGAUCUUGGAGAUGGCAGCUUAUAAGGAUGUUAAGGGGCUUGGGGUUAUUGCAGACCUGGUGACACAGCCAACCAAAUCAAAACAGGCUCCAUGGCGGUUACUCAAGAGUCGGCUGGAGAUCAUUGAUAAGUUGCUCCCUGUCCUCGAUGUGGAAAGUGGUCAAGCCGGGUGUCUGUCGCUGGAGGCUGUCAUGCAUGUAGCUGUCCCCGCACUUGAUCACAAUAAUGGGGAGGUCAGGGAUGCAGCAGUCAAGCUCAUAUUCGAGCUCUACAAAAAGGUCAAAGACCCUGUGAAAGGCUUUUUACCCAAUGAUGAACCUGCGACACGUAAGAAUCCCCUGUAUAGAUCAAUCUUUGAUGGCUUCGACCACAUUGACGGGAAACCUACAGAAUCCGAACGACGGGCUCAAGCAAAGAUUGAAAGACAGAAUGCUGAGAAACACAAACAAGCCGAGAUCGAGGCACUGCAGGCACAACUCCAGGCUCUCCGCGAAAUGGCCGGGGAAGACAAAUCGCAAGCUACAUCCAAAGACAAAUCCGACAAGAAAAAGAAAGCUGAAGAGCCUGCUCUUGAUAUGGACAAAAUGUGCAUUUUCUGCGGCGAACAGAAUGAAUCAUUCACAGAAGAUAUGCUAGACCUUCAUUACUGGAAGAGCUGCCCAAUGCUAAACCGCUGUGAGCACUGCUCCCAGGUUGUUGAGGUGUCCGGCUUUAACGAUCAUCUUCUCACGGAGUGUGACGCCAAGGACCGUAAUGCCCAGUGUCCUCGCUGCAAGGAAGUCAUGCUAAAGGUCGACUUAGAUGACCACUUGGUUCAGGCUGGUUGUACUGCCCGUGGUAAGGACGCGGCCAUCUGCCCGCUGUGUAAGACGAAGAUCGGCUCCGAGGAAGAGGCAUGGAGAAACCAUUUGAUGGAGAACUGUAAAGCGAACAAAGCACGUCUGCAGCAGCAACAAGCGAGCAAGGCCCCUAGCAGAGCAAGUUUACGGAGCAACAGGGGGAGGGGUGGUGGAAAGAUAACUCCUUCCUUACGAGGGGUAGGCAGGGGACGCAAAGGCGCCACACCUAGACAGUAGAUGACAAUUAGACCUGACUCAGGAAACCAGCCAUUUUACCCAUGUGGAUUUCUGGAGCAUCGACUGCUAGUACCCAGUGGCCCCCCAAUCGUGAAAACCUGCCGAGUAAUAGACUGUUUCAAGUAGAAAAGCGUACCCCCCAGCGUAGACCGUGCUUCGGAGGAUUCUGUAACACCCUCGUGGAUCGUACUGAUUACCCUGCUGCGAAGAUUGAUAGAGAUCUUGGCUCAUGGGUGCGCCGGGAGCCUCAGAGAGGGCUUUGCAUGGCUGGACGUUGCCGAAAAGAUACCGAUGGCCAAGAGAAGAAGACAGACGGCAAAUUUACCAGAGAAUCCCUAGCACUUGUUAUGCCUCGACGAGGACAAGCGAAGACGGCCCCGAACCUCGGCCUACCAGUGGUCCGUGAGCCACCAAGAGGAGUCUGCAUGGCUGGUCGAUGCCGUAAAGAAGUCAUUCCCGAAGCUGGGGGAUCAUCUAUGAGAUGACACCGAUAACAACGAGAGAUCGAGCGAACCAGAGUUAGAACCUUCAAAAAAAAGAGCUAUUUUGUCUAAUUUUAAUUAAUAAUAAUAAAUAGUGAAAUAUUUAUUGCGCUGAAAUAAAACAGUAUGGCAUGCUUAGUGAUAGUAAUUUAUUUCUUUUCUCGUUGCCUGCGUUCAAUAGGCCUGCUUUCCAAUACCCUUCCAUAGAUUCAUGAAAGAGUACGGGCAGCUUUUGAUACCGGUUGUACUGUUUGAGAUUCGUGUGGCAGGCCCUUUGGCAAGAGGGGCUGAAGAUGAAGAGAGCCAACCGACGUGACGUAACAACCAUCCACCGGAGUUGACAUUCUCCGUCCCAAAGCUCCUCGAAGCACAACAGCGAAGGAGCUCUGGGGAAGAGAAUACAGGAGUUGAACGCUCAUUAGUUCCCUUUGAGUGGUUUUCAUUAACCCGUGAAACAGUGAUAGACAAAGUGUACUAGCCUCGGAAGAAACAAAAA